rnacentral:rRNA from 1 species
UACGAAGGGGGCUAGCGUUGCUCGGAAUGACUGGGCGUAAAGGGCGCGUAGGCGGAUGGCACAGUCAGAUGUGAAAUUCCCGGGCUUAACCUGGGGGCUGCAUUUGAUACGUGUGAUCUAGAGUGAGGAAGAGGGUCGUGGAAUUCCCAGUGUAGAGGUGAAAUUCGUAGAUAUUGGGAAGAACACCGGUGGCGAAGGCGGCGACCUGGUCCUUGACUGACGCUGAGGUGCGAAAGCCAGGGGAGCGAACGGG